rnacentral:rRNA from 1 species
GAUGAACGCUGGCGGCGUGCCUAAUACAUGCAAGUCGAGCGAACAGAUAAGGAGCUUGCUCCUUUGACGUUAGCGGCGGACGGGUGAGUAACACGUGGGUAACCUAUCUAUAAGACUGGAAUAACUCCGGGAAACCGGGGCUAAUGCCGGAUAACAUGUUGAACCGCAUGGUUCUACAGUGAAAGGCGGCUUUGCUGUCACUUAUAGAUGGACCCGCGCCGUAUUAGCUAGUUGGUGAGGUAACGGCUCACCAAGGCAACGAUACGUAGCCGACCUGAGAGGGUGAUCGGCCACACUGGAACUGAGACACGGUCCAUACUCCUACGGGAGGCAGCAGUAGGGAAUCUUCCGCAAUGGGCGAAAGCCUGACGGAGCAACGCCGCGUGAGUGAUGAAGGUCUUCGGAUCGUAAAACUCUGUUAUUAGGGAAGAACAAAUGCGUAAGUAACUGUGCGCGUCUUGACGGUACCUAAUCAGAAAGCCACGGCUAACUACGUG